rnacentral:rRNA from 1 species
UACUCGAGUGGCGAACGGGUGAGUAACACGUGGGUGAUCUGCCCUGCACUUCGGGAUAAGCUUGGGAAACUGGGUCUAAUACCGGAUAGGAGCCAUCUUUAGUGUGGUGGUUGGAAAGUUUUUUCGGUGUAGGAUGAGCUCGCGGCCUAUCAGCUUGUUGGUGGGGUAGUGGCCUACCAAGGCGGCGACGGGUAGCCGGCCUGAGAGGGUGUACGGCCACAUUGGGACUGAGAUACGGCCCAG